GGACAGGGACACCUCCCACUAGACCAGCUACCUCAAGGGCUGAUCCAACGUGUCCUUGAACACGGCCAGUGGUCACAGUUUAAUUUGGUAUCUGCAAAACCUCCAUUAUACAACUGAGAGGCAGAUAACUAGUUGAGCUCCAGGCCUGCGCAUGUAAUCCUGUUUUGGGUUGCAAGUAUAUAAAAUCAGACUGAUGCUGCACCUGAAGCUCCUGAGAUUUUAAGACCCAGAGACCAUUCUGAUAUUGAGAAUUCAUGUGGAGAUACACUGACUUCCCCUUCCAUUUGCAGUCUGGUUAAUGAGCCUGUAAAUUGAAUUAACUCAGCUGGAGUAUCCAAAAUCCUAGUUGCAAUGAAAAGAAAAGAGGAUAAGAGUGGAGUAUGGUGGCUAUUCUUGUGGUUGCUCCAAAGCCUAGCAAACCUUUAGCUGACCCUCAGAUGUGUUCUGUGCUGGAUUCUGGCACCCAGAUCUCCUUCCCUGGGACUUGCCUGUCAGUAAGGAGGUGGGUUGGUGGAGAGGUACACUCUCUGUACUUAAUCCUACCCCAAGCAGGAAGUCUUGACUGCGUAUGUGGCCCCAGAAACUCGUGGUGUUACUUGGGUGGGUGGAACUAAAUGUCUGUUUUAAUAUCUGGCCCAUGCAUCACAUGAAGGAACAUUCUAGCUGAGUCUAUCUUAUUACAUGCUUUUUUUUAUUCUCUGCUGAAUUGAAGAUUUUUU